ensembl:lncRNA
UGGAAAUCUCAGCUGAGAGCCAUGUCCCUUAUAGAGACUAAUUCCAUUGAUCUCUACAGCACCAUUGUACCGGAGGGCUGUAACCACAGCUAUGUGACAAACAUGUGGAUGUGCAGUGUGAAUCCUGACAUCACAUGGAAGAUCAAACUUUUGCUGCAGUAGCAGGCAGUAGACCUUGUAGAUGGCAAUGAAGAUGAGAUAUGGGCAGCAGGACCUCUCACAGGGGUACAUCCCUGCUCUGCCCACUGACCUGAGAGAGACCUCACACAGCUCAGUUUGAGCUUCAGAUGUCUCUUUUUCCACCUCCAUGAGUUUUCUAUUUGCUUCCCUCAUCUUCUUUUGCUUCCCCCUUUCUUUCUAUUUUUUCAUUUUUCUUCUUCUUUUUCCCUUUUUUUCCUUUCCUCUCUUCUUUUUCCAUUUUCUUCUUACUCUUUAUUUUUCUAUUUCUUGUUACUUCCUCCCUCUUUCUUCUUUUCUUUUUCUUUUUCUUCCUGCUUUUCUUCCCUUUUUUCUUUUUCAUCUUCUUCUUUUCCUUCCUCUUUUACUAUUCUUCUUCCACUUCUUCUUCCCUAUUUUCAUUUUCCAUUUUCUUCCCCAAUUUCUUUUCCAUUUUUCCUUAGCCUUCUUUUCUUUUUUCCUGUAUUUGCUUUUUUUCCUAUUUUUCCC